rnacentral:tRNA from 1 species
GUGGAUGUAGCUCAGGUGGUUAGAGUACCAGAUUGUGGCUCUGGGGGCCGUGGGUUCGAGUCCCAUCAUCCACCCCA